rnacentral:rRNA from 1 species
UGAGUUUGAUCCUGGCUCAGGACGAACGCUGGCGGCGUGCUUAACACAUGCAAGUCGAACGGUGAAGCGGGUGCUUGCACUCGUGGAUCAGUGGCGAACGGGUGAGUAACACGUGAGUAACCUGCCCAUCACUCUGGGAUAAGCGCUGGAAACGGCGUCUAAUACUGGAUACGACCAGCCCUUGCAUGGGGUGUUGGUGGAAAGAUUUAUCGGUGGUGGAUGGACUCGCGUCCUAUCAGCUUGUUGGUGGGGUAAUGGCCUCCCAAGGCGACGACGAGUAGCCGGCCUGAGAGGGCGACCGGCCACACUGGGACUGAGACACGGCCCAGACUCCUACGGGAGGCAGCAGUGGGGAAUAUUGCACAAUGGGCGAAAGCCUGAUGCAACGACGCCGCGUGAGGGAUGACGGCCUUCGGGUUGUAAACCUCUUUCAGCAGGGAAGAAGCUUUUGUGACGGUACCUGCAGAAGAAGCACCGGCUAACUACGUGCCAGCAGCCGCGGUAAUACGUAGGGUGCGAGCGUUGUCCGGAAUUAUUGGGCGUAAAGAGCUUGUAGGCGGUUUGUCGCGUCUGCUGUGAAAAUCUGGGGCUUAACCCUGGACGUGCAGUGGGUACGGGCAGACUAGAGUGUGGUAGGGAAGACUGGAAUUCCUGGUGUAGCGGUGGAAUGCGCAGAUAUCAGGAGGAACACCGAUGGCGAAGGCAGGUCUCUGGGCCAUUACUGACGCUGAGAAGCGAAAGCAUGGGGGAGCGAACAGGAUUAGAUACCCUGGUAGUCCAUGCCGUAAACGUUGGGGCGCUAGGCGUGGGGUCUCAUUCCACGAGAU